UGCUUGGUUUUUGACGGUCCACCACCUCUCUGUGGGACUCCUCCUUGGCAGGAGGUUUCAAGAGUUUUUCAGGAACUGCUACAGUUUGGAAGUUUAUUUGUCAGUGAAAGGAGCUUCUCCCUCUGCUCUCCCUCUCUCUCCUCCCAGUACCCAUCUGAUAAAGUUACAGAUUCACAACAAGCUUCACCAGCCCCCCCCCCCCACACUGAAUAACACAUCGUCUGGCAACAGGAGGCGUUUGAUUACAUUUGGAAGGAAUGCCUGCAUCAACUCCAGUUGUCCCUGGAUUGCAACUGAUGGGCCUCACGUGCCUGCAGCCAACAGUUUGCCUUCACCCACUCCCCUCUCGGCAAUGAACCUUUCACUGGGAAAACAAGAAACCUACGUGCCAUCCUGAGUGAGAGACAAACAGGAGCUGUAUCCCAGCAUCAUAUCCCAGGGAGGGUGAGGCAACUGAAGUCUAGGAAUGCUCAAUGCUUUGUUCAUGCUUUCACAACUCAGAAAAGAGAAUCUGGGAUUAAGAACUGAACAGUCUCAGUUCCAGCAGCGGUCCUCUGCAGUGAUGCCUGUUGAAGGAAAGGCCUCUUCUAGGAAUGAAUGUGUGAUCCAAAAACUCAACAUGAAACAAAAUUAUCUUUGGAUGAAGUUGAGAUAAGAUUGAUGAAAAUGGAACUUUUAAUUCCCAGGAUGCUAUUCUACCAUUCUUUGCAGACUGGAAGUUUACAUUGCAAAUGAUCCAUAAUCAAGAUUGUGUUAUUGGACAAGACACUUGCCAAAGUACCUGAGUGAGUUCCCUACAAUGUUGGUACUUCAUAACACUUCUGUAAUCCAGGCUCCAACUGAGCAAAAAUUCUGAUGUGAAAAGGCUGGAAUAAUCAAAGAAUGAAAGGGCUGGAAGUAUGAAGACUGUAUUGUCCUAAAACUGCAGAGAUGGAAUUGAGGUCAGAAGAUGGAUGUAAGUUCUUCAGAGAGCAUCUCCUUUGCUGUCUCAAACGUAUCUGUCUCCCAAAAUGGAAGAGACUAUAAUUACACAAUGGACCUUAAACUGUGUGUGUGUGUGUGUUAGUUUUAACUUCACACAACAAUUGCGAAAAUGAUACUAACAUUCCAAACUUGCCCCUCAUGGAGAUAAAGCAUUUGGCCACAUUUUCUUUGAGAAGAUUUACUGAUGUGAUACCAGUAAUAGUAAUUAUAAUAGCAAUGACAUAUGUACAGCACUUCAGAUUAUAGAAGACCUCUUCUCUCUUCCCUUUCCAAACUUUCCCCCUUCCCCUCCCUCCUCUUCUUUUCCAUGUCCUCUCCUCCUCUCCCCUUCGCUUGUAGUCCCCGUCUUCAAUUUCCCCUCCCCUCCCUUCCCUUUCCCUUUCCUUUCUUCCUUCCUUUCCAUGUAUUAGCCUACCGAUCACUCCCAACAUUUCCGAGAUAGGAAAAGCAAAGAGCAGAUAAGAAGAGUGAGGUUUUUCUUAUGGUCAGGUGACAUCCUGCCUAAGAUCACAAAGAAACAGCAAGGGCAUUGCUGAGAGUGGAGAUGAGGUUUUCUAACUCAUGACUGGGCACCGUUUCCUCUGCACAACACUGCCAUUUUACAGCUGAGCUCUGUCUCCUCUGCUCUUGACUUGGGUUGCUGCCUAGGUUAAGAGUGGCUGCCUGACAGCAUAAAGAUGGCAGCUGCCUCAUGUAGGCUGGAUGUCCCUGAACAGCUGUGACUCACACUACAAAGGGAUGAGUCACCCACAUUCCUGUCCUGUCCACCACACAUGUUCCCUUCACUCAGUCUCUCUGUAUCUUGUGCCCACAGUGCCAGUAGGAGGUGGUACUGCCAGCUGGGGCUGACCACUGGGUCCUCAGGUGCCCUCCAGCCUGGUGGCAGAUGUUCCCUGGCACCUACCCAAGUUGAAAGGCUCCAGAUCACCCCCAGGACAUGAGAGCUGGAGCAGAGGAAAGGCCUCUACCUCUAUUCAAAGGUACCAUCAUUUCCUAGAUGGGACAAGGUAUGGAUUAUAUCUAGGCCUCAGCUUCCUCUGCUGUAGAAUAGGGAGAAGAAAGGGUUUUGGGAUGGGUCAUGAUUCUUUGAUAUUGAGCUUUCUCAGCCAUGAUUCCUUUAUAUUCAAGAAAAAAGUUACAGGCCCUGAUCUCCAACUAAGAGAACUGUGAGACAGGGAGAAACAUAAGCAGAAGUAACAAGGCAAAAGGAAUGUCAAAGAAAGAGAUAUCUGAUGUAGAAGCUAUUGUGAAGAUCAGAUGAGUUAACAUAGGUCAAGUAUGUGGUCAGUGGUCAAAUGUUUGCAAUAACAGUGGUGAGAAGAGCAUCUGACCUUGAGUCUCAUCGCAUGCCUGCUACCUGACCUAAGACAUUCCCUUGCUUUCUACAUCCUGAAAUUCUACAGUCACUUCCAAUGUAGUCUCUUAGUUACCAGUGCCUCUCCUCCACUCUAACCUUCCCACUGCCCUCAAAAGGAUUUCCCAAAAACAGCGGUGCCAUACUUCCUUUUCCUACUCGAAGUCCUUCAUUGGCAACCUAGUACCUCCUGAGUGAGGUUCCAGCAAUACAUCCCAGCAAUCAAGCCUGGCAACACACAAAGCCCCAGUGUGUCUUCCCCAUGGGAUCCCUACUGACCCCUGUGCCUGUGCCAUGUGAUGCAUCGGUAAAUCUGCUGUCCACUGCCUACAAACACCUGUUAGCUAUCUGUACCCUGGAUAAGAGCAAGAAAAAGUGGGCUGUGUUUCUUCCAAUGAAACCCAAGGACAAACUCUAAGGAACAGAGGUACAAAUAAUCUUUGAUCCCUAUCCAGUAGCUACAGUUCAUACUGCCAUGGACACCUGAAAUAAAGCAUUGUUGACAACAAGUUGGAUCUUCAUAGCUUCCAGACAAAACUAAAAGUAAGGGAACUAACUUGUAAUAGGCAUCAUUGCCUACAUACACUAUUAAGUUGUAUGAGCCUUUUUAAAGCAAUUCAGGGGCUGAGAAUAUAACUUAGUGGUAG